rnacentral:misc_RNA from 1 species
GCCGGAUAUGCUCAUGGACAGUAGAUUGCGUUAUUACUGAAGAAUCAGUACCAAGUUUUGCAGGGCCGUCUGGGUUAAUAGUGAAAACUUCAAUCAACAACUUUCAUACAGAGUGGUUAUGAUUACAAAGGAACAGUGAAAUGGGGUCAUUUAGGUUUCAAAUCCUAAAAUUACCAUCUGGCGAAUUGUGAUGACUUCACUACCUUGACAUUUUUUUCAAGGUAAUUUCCCAGCCUCCACAGUUCUUUUCUUGAAGAUUCAUCAAAUCAAAUGCAUAGUUUUUAUGGACAGUGUCUAAACGACACUUCACUA